CACCGCGGUCAUACGAUUAACCCAAAUUAAUUACUCUCGGCGUAAAACGUGUAAACUAUAAACUGAUAAAUAGGAUUAAAAUCCAACUUAUAUGUGAAAAUUCAUUGUUAGGACCUAAACUCAACAACGAAAGUAAUUCUAAUAAUAUUAUAUUACACGAUAGCUAAGACC
rnacentral:rRNA from 1 species